UACGUAGGAGACGAGCGUUGUCCGGAGUUACUGGGCGUAAAGGGCGCGUAGGCGGCUCUGCACGUUCGUUGUGAAAUCGCCCGGCUCAACUGGGCGGGGUCAGCGGAUACGGCAGAGCUUGAGCAAGCUAGGGGGCAAUGGAAUUCCCGGUGUAGUGGUGGAAUGCGUAGAUAUCGGGAGGAACACCAGUGGCGAAGGCGGUUGCCUGGGGCUUUGCUGACGCUGAUGCGCGAAAGCGUGGGGAGCGAUCCGG
rnacentral:rRNA from 1 species